rnacentral:tRNA from 1 species
UAAAACCUGUGGAACACUAAACCACAUCUUCUGAAUGCAAAUCAGACACUUUAAU